CCCUAGCCCUGAUUGUAACGGUUACCCCACAACUGCGAUGGAUUUGGAGGGUGUUAGCGAUGGAUAGCUAUUGGCGUGAGGAGUAUAAGUGGAAAGCAGCAAAAGCU
rnacentral:misc_RNA from 1 species